CAGUAACAGAACCAGGGUGAACAGGUGGAGGCAGGCAGCACUACAUGCAAAAGGUAAUGAACAUCUGGUGUGAGUUAUGAGGGGAGACAACGAUGAAGGGUGUGUGGGAGGGACACCCAAACCAGCUAAUGAGGCAGAAAAUGGAAAAGUCUGAUUAAAACAAAAAAAAAAGCAGAAAGAUGCAAUUCAGAAGUGAUGGAAGACACACAGGCACAUCUCACACCCCUGCAUUUCCAGCACAGCCCAACACCACGCCACCACUGUGAUGUCACUGUGAUCUCAGAUCAGCUCCCUGAGCUCUGGGCUCACCCAGCAGUGAGGCCUGAACAGCUUCACUCUCUUUAGGAGACACUGAGGCUAAGCAAAGAACAACAACAGUGUAAUCCCUGCAGAUCAACCUCCCCAGAGCCCAGGACAGUGCUCAGGAUCUGAAUGAAAGUCAAACAAAGCAGAUUCCCACCCCACAGUGGGAGAAAAAGCUCCCCACAGCUCCCCAGCUUCCCUGGCUGCUCCUCCAGACACAGCAGCACACGCAAGGCAAAAUGAAGAGCCCAAACCCAGCAGUAACACACAGAAAACUCACCGAGCUCCGUGGGCUUCAGCAGCUCAUCCAGGGUGGUGUAGAAGGGGAGCUUCACCAAGCGGACUUCAGGCUUCACAGCUUUGGGGGGCAACCUGCCCAGUCCGUUCAGGGCUGCAGUCAAAUUGGACCAGCUGCAGUGCUCUGGUGACUAGUUCGUGUUUAAGUCCGCUUUUACUCCUGCCAACAAAACCCAGCAACA